AAAAAAAAAACACGCACACACACACAUACACAUGAACACACCACAUAUUCACGCACAGCUGAGCGGCUUUAUGGCGAGAUCUGCAGCGGCACGGUAGCGACGUACUGCCGACAAUGGAAGAGUAUUUACGGACGGUCCAGAGCAGACUGCCGCUCUGAGUACCACAUUUUGGAGUCCAGCAUCCAGCGAGUGGUCCAUUACAAUCAGCAGCAGGAAGCAGCAGAUGAUGGGGCAUCGUCUGCAGUGAGGACAGUCGCCAGGGAGAUUCUUCAAGAGCCAGUGGAGCGCGUCGGAGUGGCGCUGGGGGAGACACUCGGAGCAACUGCUGUCUGAGAACCUGACAGAGUUUUCUGAUGGAGAAACGACCAUCGCUCUCACCUCAGCGCACACAGUGGAGGAGGUGAGUGUCAUCAC